AAUGAAUUGCCUGAUAGAAGGAUUACCUUGAUAGGGUAAAUCAUGUAAUUAAUAUUACAUUCAUUA
rnacentral:tRNA from 1 species